AUUUAAAAAGAAAAUAUGCUGGAAUGAUUAAAAAUACCUAACUUAUUUUUAUUUUCCUUAGCUUUUAUGUCUAGGAUUUCUUCUGCCAUGAGAAUUGGAAGAAUGACUUUUUUUUCCCUGAGAAAAACCUUUCUGAUGCAGCAAAACCAAAAUGUUCACAUGCCAAUGUGUGUGUUCCUCCACACUGUCCAGAAGGUACUAAAGGGAGAGUACAUGAGAGGAUGUGUGGUGUCCCCUGAAAGGACUUACAUCCUGCUUGGGCUUCCCAGACACCUUACCUUGACAAUCCCACAAGGUUUAUCACACAA
rnacentral:lncRNA from 1 species